AGGGUGUUUCAGGUGUUGCCAUUUCAGCCAUCUUGCAGGACGGGGCGGUCCUGCAAGUGAGAGGUCAGGUGUAAGUCAGGAGGAAAGGGCUGCAGAGGGCAGCUUCUUCUGGGGGCCUCCCGCGGUCUCCCCGAAGCACUGACUCAGCCCAACAGGGCAAAGCCAGGCUGUAUUUGACCCCUGAUAGACUCUCUCUCAGGGAUCUCCCUGCACGGUCACAACCUUAGGCUUUGUUGGCCACUGGGGUGCCAGGGGUCCGCUGCUGCUGGGAACUGACCAGACCCAAGAAGAGACUGAGGAGACCCCACAGCAAAAGCUGAUGGUCUCAGUCCUCUUCCUUCAACUGAGGAGAAGUGGCAAGUUGCUGAGUUUUCCAAGGAUGAGCUGAGGGUACCACACCAAAGAGGAAUCCAUACUUUUCCCGGAAGGUAUUAAGCUACUGCACUUCUAAGUACAAGGGGUCCCACCACCAACAGCGAGGUGACCUAGAUGCCAAAAUCAAGGUAAAGAGACAAUCGACCAAAACACUCACUGAAUGAAACCCAGAUACGCUGUGGAGACGUGAAGAAUAGUUCGGGAUGUCUUGAAGGGACACUGAAAGACUGUGGUUGGACAACAAAGCCUCUUGGAGCACCGAGGCUCAUGGCUAACAGUUGGCUUGUUGAAGUGUGAGAUCCUUCUUCAGUUUUCGGCAGGAAUGUGUCCAGGCGGGGAAGAGCCGCAUAUGUUUAUGUGCACUUCAGUGUCCUUUAUGGUUAGUUUCCCCAAAGGCUUAUUGUGCUUAUUGCAUCAUUUGUUUUUAUUUGGAAGAGUACUUUGGAAGCUUCAGAGCGGUUGUAGAGUCAUUACCGUCUCUAGCUGUCCGUGGUUAUGACUGCCUGUGGAAAUUGUGUGGAAGGGAAAGAAAAGUAAAUAAAAGUCCCUCCUCGAGCCCUCGCCUCUUUAUCUGCAUUUCCCAUCACUUGGAAUUAGGGCCCCAGCCCUGUGGGAUUACACUGGACCAACCUCAUUCUGGUUUAUGACAUUUGUCUCCCAAGAGGGGGCUACAUGAACUUUGGGAUGUGGGUGAACCAUUUGCAUGAAAAAUUAAAGCGGGCGUAUUUAUUCUGAAGGGCAGAAUGACCCUAUAAGAUUCCUGACGGGGGAAUUUAUUUUUCCCAUCCUUCAAAUGAGGUAACAAGUCAACUCUCUAUCCAGACCUGGGGAAGUUGAUGCUUCGCACUAAAAUUGUAUGAAAUGAGUAACCUGCCAGGUCCCUGGAAAAGCAAUUCAUCUUAGGAAAAUGGAAUUAGUUUUAACUACACUAUUAAGUACUAUAAACUAUCCUCCUGGGCCCAGCCUGUUAAGCACCCAAAUUAUUUUUCAACAUGCUUAUGUUUCCUUUUCCAACACCAAUGAGAACUUGAAAGAGAGGAGUCUUAUUAUUCAAAAUAUACUUUUUCAUAAUAUACAAAAAAAACACAACCCAUUAACAAUAUCUUCUCUGGCACACUUUGUAUAGUUUUGUAUGUAUAGCCUGGUAAAGCUAUUCGUAGUUCU